UAGUUUAUUGAAAAUUCGAGAAGGCCCAAAUAGCAUUAACAUUAAUCACUUUUCUAACUCUAGAAGAUACUGUAACAAAACACGCCUUGGAUUUCAAAGCUUGAGCUUCAACACCCGAGAUCAAUCCUUGCGAAAUUAAGAUUAAGGUUUAAACUCAUAUCAUACAUGCAGCUGCAGAGGAUCAAGUCACUAGUAUUAUAGUGCAGUUACAACUCAAUAAGGUUUCAAGAAUUUAAGGAGUGCAUUGCGUUGACAGACAGUCAGACAUAGAGUAUGGGGAAGGUAUGUCUGUUUACUGUGAAUCAUUGAGUGCUUCAUACAAAAUACAAAUACUAGAUAGGAAUGCAUAUAAAGUUGAUGUUGCUUUCUCAGAUAUAUAUUUCCAGUCACAAUUUUUUAUUCCCCUUGAGAUUAGAUAGAGUUAUAAAUGAUAAUAAGUCUGGAGGGGAGCACUAGUGUCCAUCCACUUUUAGAGUCAUAACAUAUUUCUAACCACGUACUGCCAUGUGGCAUGCAUGAUGCAAAAUAACAAUGCUAUAAUGCAAAAAAACAUUAGUUGUCACUAUAAUGGAUUUACGUAGGUUGCAUUAUAGACCGUUUAUGUUGCAAUAUAGACUGUUUAUGUUGCAAUAUAGACAUUGACUUAAAUAAUGCAAAAAUGCAACAUAAACCGGCUAUAAUGCAAUCUGGCUAUAUAUAUUUUGCAUUAUAGACAACAUAUGUUUAUAAUGCAAAAUUGAGAGUGUAUUUCAAUCCGUGAAAAUCAAUCUGCAAGUUCUAACUUUUUUUGCAUUAUAAUGUUAUUAUAUCGCAUCAUAUGUGCCACGUGUCAGUACCAGGUUGGAAGUAUGUUAUAAUUUUAAAUUGAGUUAUUUUUUAACUCUUUUUCCUUGUAGUGUAUAUAAUUUCAAAUAAUUAAUCAUUUCUAUUAUUUUUAAUGAAAGAGUUGAUUGAUUAUGUUCUAUCAAGGAGCUAGUACUUUAGUAUAUGUAUUGAAAAACAUUUUUUGAGAGCUUGCGAGUGAUUUGUAUAUAUAAAAGUCAAUUUUUAUUAAUGAGAAAAAUAUUUUUUUUAUCA